rnacentral:rRNA from 1 species
UACAGAGGGUGCAAGCGUUAAUCGGAAUUACUGGGCGUAAAGCGUGCGUAGACGGUUAUUUAAGUCGGAUGUGAAAGCCCCGGGCUCAACCUGGGAAUUGCAUUCGAGACUGAAUAGCUAGGGUACGGUAGAGGGAAGCGGAAUUUCCGGUGUAGCGGUGAAAUGCGUAGAUAUCGGAAGGAACAUCAGUGGCGAAAGCGGCUUCCUGGACCAGUACCGACGUUCAGGCACGAAAGCGUGGGGAGCAAACAGG